rnacentral:rRNA from 1 species
GAUGAACGCUGGCGGCGUGCCUAAUACAUGCAAGUCGAGCGAACAGACGAGGAGCUUGCUCCUCUGACGUUAGCGGCGGACGGGUGAGUAACACGUGGAUAACCUACCUAUAAGACUGGGAUAACUUCGGGAAACCGGAGCUAAUACCGGAUAAUAUAUUGAACCGCAUGGUUCAAUAGUGAAAGACGGUUUUGCUGUCACUUAUAGAUGGAUCCGCGCCGCAUUAGCUAGUUGGUAAGGUAACGGCUUACCAAGGCAACGAUGCGUAGCCGACCUGAGAGGGUGGUCGGCCACACGGGAGCUGAGACACGGUCCAGACGCCUACGAGAGGCAGCAGUAGGGAAUCUUCCGCAAUGGGCGAAAGCCUGACGGAGCAACGCCGCGUGAGUGAUGAAGGUCUUCGGAUCGUAAAGCUCUGUUAUUAGGGAAGAACAAAUGUGUAAGUAACUAUGCACGUCUUGACGGUACCUAAUCAGAAAGCCACGGCUAACUACGUG